rnacentral:rRNA from 1 species
AUUGAACGCUGGCGGCAUGCCUUACACAUGCAAGUCGAACGGCAGCACGGGUGCCUGCACCUGGUGGCGAGUGGCGAACGGGUGAGUAAUACAUCGGAACGUACCUUAUCGUGGGGGAUAACGCAGCGAAAGCUGUGCUAGUACCGCAUACGCCCUGAGGGGGAAAGCGGGGGAUCGAAAGACCUCGCGCGAUUAGAGCGGCCGAUGCCUGAUUAGCUUGUUGGUGGGGUAAAAGCCCACAAAGGCGACGAUCAGUAGCUGGUCUGAGAGGACGAUCAGCCACACUGGGACUGAGACACGGCCCAGACUCCUACGGGAGGCAGCAGUGGGGAAUUUUGGACAAUGGGGGAAACCCUGAUCCAGCAAUGCCGCGUGAGUGAAGAAGGCCUUCGGGUUGUAAAGCUCUUUUGUCAGGGAAGAAACACCGGCUCUAACACAGUCCGGGAAUGACGGUACCUGAAGAAUAAGCACCGGCUAACUACGUGCCAGCAGCCGCCGUAA